AACGAACGCUGGCGGCAGGCUUAACACAUGCAAGUCGAGCGCCCCGCAAGGGGAGCGGCAGACGGGUGAGUAACGCGUGGGAAUCUACCCAUCUCUACGGAAUAACGCAUGGAAGCGUGUGCUAAUACCGUAUACGUCCUGCGGGAGAAAGAUUUAUCGGAGAUGGAUUAGCCCGCGUUGGAUUAGCUAGUUGGUGGGUGAAAGGCCUACCAAGGCGACGAUCCAUAGCUGGUCUGAGAGGAUGAUCAGCCAACCUGGGACUGAGACACGGCCCAGACUCCUACGGGAGGCAGCAGUGGGGAAUAUUGGACAAUGGGCGCAAGCCUGAUCCAGCCAUGCCGCGUGAGUGAUGAAGGCCCUAGGGUUGUAAAGCUCUUUCACCGGUGAAGAUAAUGACGGUAACCGGAGAAGAAGCCCCGGCUAACUUCGUGCCAGCCGCCGCCGUAACAC
rnacentral:rRNA from 1 species